AAUAAGAGCCAUAUCACCCUGUAGCCCAAGACUGGUCACCCACUGAAGCUAAGCAGGGUUGAGCCUGGUCAGUACCUGGAUGGGAGACCUCCUGGGAAAACUAGGUUGCUGCUGGAA
rnacentral:rRNA from 1 species